CAAGAGGAGAUCCUGGCGUGGUUUCAACGGAGCGGGCGAUCUGAUAUGCACGCUCCUCUCCAUUCUCCCUGACCCCUCCCAGAUCGGCGCUUGUAACAGGGAAGAGGCAAAGAUCCAGGCUUGGGUUAAGCUUGGGUUAACCUGGAGAGCGCCAAGGCCGAAGCACAAUCAAGAAAGCUGGAGAGCGCUUGCUGUACAGAAGGUAGAAGUUAUUUUGUGGCAAGACACAAGAGUGGAGCAAAUGCAGAUUGGUUGAUUAUUGUGUUGCUCGUAACUUUGAAAUCACAGAUAUUGGUGCUUGAGUUAUUCCUACUAUCCGAAUUUUGUUCCAGUUCAAAAAUUGUCAAAUAAAUUGGCUCAUGUCUCAUUUUAUUUUGUACUAUCUAUCUGUGUAUGUGCAUGGACAUGACCAUAUGUAAGCCAUUCAUCUUGGUUGGCAGUAUAUCUUGCUAUUCAGAAGGCCACAUGAUUAUGUUGUUGAUCUAUU